UCAAAAAUAUCUCUCCUAAUCUCUCCACUCCACACUCUCAUUUUAUCAUUACCACUGCUUCAACAUCUUCUUAGCUUCUCAAACAGUUACAGACUGUACUUACUGACAUUUACACACACAUGCAUAUAUUCACCAUAGUUGAGACCUUUCUGCUAUAACUAUCUACUGGGGUCUUGAUCACUUUCACUCAGGAAGCUCAGGAGUGUAGCAUUUAUUAAGAAACUGUAUGAGUACUCAGUUUCUUAAACUGUUAUCUUUAUUCUCUUUCUAUUUGUGUUUAGUACAUGAAAGUUCUGAUCUUUGUCUUUUAAAGUCAUGGGGUUAAUUUUAAUUUUUACAUGCAUGGGUUUUUUUAUUACUACUUAAGAAUUCAGAGCUCAUGAGACUGACUGUUAUUAUUGUAAUUAAGGCUAACCCUUGAUUUAAUUUACAGUUAUGAGUGCAUCUGUGCAUUUUCAGCUACUUUUAUGUUUAUUCUAGUUUUGCUUUUUUGCCAUUUAAGAGAGCAAAGAAAUUGCCUGAUCUAAUCUGUAUUAUAGGACCUCAGUGCCUUUUGAAGAGGUAUGGCUUGAGUGAUGUUGGAAGCUCUUUAUGGUGUGAUCUUGCUAUUUGUGAUUCGAAAUUGGAGUUGCCUUUUAUUUACAUGGUUUAAUCAAUUGAAGUUGUCAGUUGGGUUGGUGUAGAUUAGUUUCUGGUAUUUAAUGCACUUUUGAUUUGGUAUGGGAAUUGAAGCAUGAUCUAUAUCACUAUAUGUUCUGGAUAGGAAAAUUGGGGUUCACAUAUACGAAAGUUUUAGCCUUUAAAUUUUCUUGUACUUUUUAGGUUUUCUCACUAGUUGAUAUUGUUUGCUGCUUUUCUGCUUUGUUCGUGAUUAUUAAUAGCAACGGGAGAAUUCAGAGUUUAUUUAGAAGAACCAGAUCCAGAUGGCUACAUUUGGGGAUAUUGGACUUGCGGCAGCUAUCAAUAUCAUCACUGCGCUGAUCUUUCUCAUAGCUUUUGCCAUACUAAGACUUCAACCUUUCAACGAUAGAGUUUAUUUUCCGAAAUGGUAUCUUAAGAAAUUAAGAGAAAGUCCAUCAAGGUCUGGGACAUUUGUUAGCAAGUUUGUGAAUUUAGAUAUCAAAUCAUAUGUCAAGUUUCUCAAGUGGAUGCCUGAUGCAUUCCAAAUGCCAGAACUCGAGCUUAUUGACCAUGCAGGAUUGGAUUCUGUUGUGUACUUAAGGAUUUACUUGCUUGGGUAUGUAACCUCAGUCCUUUUUUAAUCUAGCAUCACUUGUUUGGAUCUGAAAUUUGAGAUACUUGAUUGAUAAUCUUUUUAAUGGUAUGAUAACAAUGAAAUCCUUUUUUGGGCUAUUCGGUGGUGUGGCCUAAAUUANAAAAAAAAAAAAAAAAGGAAAGAAAAGCUACUCCAAACCGGGUCAUCUCCAGGCCCUAAAGGCUAAAGUACUUGUGCAUUCAAGCCAUGUUGAAUAUUUGUGUAAGUUUUAACAUAAUUUUCCGUAUUAAUUUGAGCGUGAACAAUGAAAUAGAGUAAUAUUAUUGGGAUUGUACUGUUCACCUGCCAAACAUGUACUAAUAAUCACAAAUCUGAGCCACAAGGUGAUAAUCUUAUCCACCAGAUUCUGUGACAACAAAAGCAGAAGCAUCAGUCCUACCGACACACCCUUCAAUUAUUUCAUUCUUGGUUUAAAUUCGGUUGGAAUAGUUCCACAAGACAAAACUGGAUUUUGUAAUCUUGCCUUUGCGCAUAAUAUAUAUUUUAAAAAUAUAUGUAAGAAAUCAAAUCGACUAUUAUUUUGAAACGGAAAGAGAAUAUUAUAACAAUCAUUUUAUUACACUCGAGCCAUAUCUCCGGUUAUAGAAAAAUGACUCCAGAUCUCACAUGUUCGGUAAGUAAUGUCCUAAAUAACAGAUUAGAAAAAAAUGUCCCAAAUACCGGUGAUAAUUUAGAUUUUCAAUUUGAGAUGAAAACGUUAGAUCAUGUAGCGUUUUACUGUUUUAACCUCAGCAAAACGCUACACGGCAUAAAUGAUGGAUAUAAUAACAGUCAAGCCAACACCUAUCAGUUAAAAGUACUCCCUAUGUCCCUCUGGUUAGUUUAUCCGGGAGAUGAGAGUUUGACACGCAUUUUAAUGCUACUUGAAAACAUAGUUUAUGAACUUAUUUUUUAAUUUUUUUCUUUUGAACAAAAAUUUGAUGUUUGAAUUUUUAUACACAAAAAGAAAAUCUUAAAUAUAAGUUAUGAAAUUAUAUUUUAAAAGAGUCUUAAAAUAUUGUCAAGCAGUGAAAAAAAUCAUAAAAAAAAUGAGAGGGACGGAUGGAGCAUGUUAGUACCUCAAAACGUUAUAACAGAGCUUGUUACACCUUUAGUAAAUGAGGUCGUUACAACAGCCUUUGUUGUUAUUAUUACUUGUGCUGUAUUGUCAUUAUUAUUGCUCAAAAAUAUCUCUCCUAAUCUCUCCACUCCACACUCUCAUUUUAUCAUUACCACUGCUUCAACAUCUUCUUAGCUUCUCAAACAGUUACAGACUGUACUUACUGACAUUUACACACACAUGCAUAUAUUCACCAUAGUUGAGACCUUUCUGCUAUAACUAUCUACUGGGGUCUUGAUCACUUUCACUCAGGAAGCUCAGGAGUGUAGCAUUUAUUAAGAAACUGUAUGAGUACUCAGUUUCUUAAACUGUUAUCUUUAUUCUCUUUCUAUUUGUGUUUAGUACAUGAAAGUUCUGAUCUUUGUCUUUUAAAGUCAUGGGGUUAAUUUUAAUUUUUACAUGCAUGGGUUUUUUUAUUACUACUUAAGAAUUCAGAGCUCAUGAGACUGACUGUUAUUAUUGUAAUUAAGGCUAACCCUUGAUUUAAUUUACAGUUAUGAGUGCAUCUGUGCAUUUUCAGCUACUUUUAUGUUUAUUCUAGUUUUGCUUUUUUGCCAUUUAAGAGAGCAAAGAAAUUGCCUGAUCUAAUCUGUAUUAUAGGACCUCAGUGCCUUUUGAAGAGGUAUGGCUUGAGUGAUGUUGGAAGCUCUUUAUGGUGUGAUCUUGCUAUUUGUGAUUCGAAAUUGGAGUUGCCUUUUAUUUACAUGGUUUAAUCAAUUGAAGUUGUCAGUUGGGUUGGUGUAGAUUAGUUUCUGGUAUUUAAUGCACUUUUGAUUUGGUAUGGGAAUUGAAGCAUGAUCUAUAUCACUAUAUGUUCUGGAUAGGAAAAUUGGGGUUCACAUAUACGAAAGUUUUAGCCUUUAAAUUUUCUUGUACUUUUUAGGUUUUCUCACUAGUUGAUAUUGUUUGCUGCUUUUCUGCUUUGUUCGUGAUUAUUAAUAGCAAC
rnacentral:lncRNA from 1 species